AUGAACGCUGGCGGCGUGCCUAAUCCAUGCCAGUCGAGCGAACAGAUGAGGAGCUUGCUCCUCUGACGUUAGCGGCGGACGGGUGAGUAACACGUGGAUAACCUACCUAUAAGACUGGGAUAACUUCGGGAAACCGGAGCUAAUACCGGAUAAUAUAUUGAACCGCAUGGUUCAAUAGUGAAAGACGGUUUUGCUGUCACUUAUAGAUGGAUCCGCGCCGCAUUAGCUAGUUGGUAAGGUAACGGCUUACCAAGGCGACGAUGCGUAGCCGACCUGAGAGGGUGAUCGGCCACACUGGAACUGAGACACGGUCCAGACUCCUACGGGAGGCAGCAGUAGGGAAUCUUCCGCAAUGGGCGAAAGCUUGACGGAGCAACGCCGCGUGAGUGAUGAAGGUCUUCGGAUCGUAAAACUCUGUUAUUAGGGAAGAACAAAUGUGUAAGUAACUAUGCACGUCUUGACGGUACCUAAUCAGAAAGCCACGGCUAACUACGUG
rnacentral:rRNA from 1 species